UARUGCUUGCACUAAGAUGAUUUUGGAUCCGACUGAGUGGCGAACUGGUGAGUAACACGUGGGUAACCUGCCCAGAAGAAGGGGAUAACACCUGGAAACAGAUGCUAAUACCGUAUAACAACMAGAACCACAUGGUUYUUGKUUGAAAGCUGGCCUUUGUGCUAGUGCUUCUGGAUGGACCCGCGGCGUAUUARCUAGUUGGUGAGAUAAUAGCUCACCAAGGSAAUGAUACGUAGCAGACCUGAGAGGGUAAUCUGCCACAAUGGGACUGARACACGGCCCAUACUCCUACGGGAGGCAGCAGUAGGGAAUCUUCCACAAUGGACGAAAGUCUGAUGGAGCAACGCCGCGUGAGUGAAGAAGGGUUUCGGCUCGUAAAACUCUGUUGUUAGAGAAGAACAGCCGUG
rnacentral:rRNA from 2 species